UGAACGCAAGUUGCGCCCUAAGCUUCCGGGCCGAGGGCAAGCCUGCGUGGGCGUCAAGUU
rnacentral:rRNA from 1 species